GACGAACGCUGGCGGCGUGCUUAACACAUGCAAGUCGAACGAUGAAGCCCUUCGGGGUGGAUUAGUGGCGAACGGGUGAGUAACACGUGGGCAAUCUGCCCUUCACUCUGGGACAAGCCCUGGAAACGGGGUCUAAUACCGGAUAUCACUCUCGCAGGCAUCUGUGAGGGUCGAAAGCUCCGGCGGUGAAGGAUGAGCCCGCGGCCUAUCAGCUUGUUGGUGAGAUAACGGCUCACCAAGGCGACGACGGGUAGCCGGCCUGAGAGGGCGACCGGCCACACUGGGACUGAGACACGGCCCAGUCUCCUACGGGAGGCAGCAGUGGGGAAUAUUGCACAAUGGGCGAAAGCCUGAUGCAGCGACGCCGCGUGAGGGAUGACGGCCUUCGGGUUGUAAACCUCUUUCAGCAGGGAAGAAGCGAAAGUGACGGUACCUGCAGAAGAAGCGCCGGCUAACUACGUGCCAGCCGCCGCCGUAACAC
rnacentral:rRNA from 1 species